rnacentral:rRNA from 1 species
AGAGUUUGAUCCUGGCUCAGGACGAACGCUGGCGGCGUGCCUAACACAUGCAAGUCGAACGGGACUGGGGGCAACUCCAGUUCAGUGGCGGACGGGUGCGUAACACGUGAGGAACAUGACUUUCGGCGGGGGAUAGCCGGCCCAACGGCCGGGUAAUACCGCGUACGACCUCUCGGGGACAUCCCCGGUUGGUGAAAGCAGCAAUGCACCGAAAGAGUGCCUCGCGGCCUAUCAGCUAGUUGGUGGGGUAAUGGCCCACCAAGGCGACGACGGGUAGCUGGUCUGAGAGGAUGGCCAGCCACAUUGGGACUGAGACACGGCCCAGACUCCUACGGGAGGCAGCAGUGGGGAAUAUUGCGCAAUGGGCGAAAGCCUGACGCAGCGACGCCGCGUGUGGGAUGACGGCCUUCGGGUUGUAAACCACUGUCGGGAGGGACGAAUGCGCCGCAAGGCGAGUGACGGUACCUCCAAAGGAAGCACCGGCUAACUCCGUGCCAGCAGCCGCGGUAAUACGGAGGGUGCGAGCGUUGUCCGGAAUCACUGGGCGUAAAGGGCGCGUAGGCGGCCUGAUAAGUAGGGGGUGAAAUCCUGCGGCUUAACCGCAGGGCUGCCUUCUAAACUGUCGGGCUAGAGCACGGUAGAGGCAGAUGGAAUUCCCGGUGUAGCGGUGGAAUGCGUAGAGAUCGGGAAGAACAUCAGUGGCGAAGGCGGUCUGCUGGGCCGUUGCUGACGCUGAGGCGCGACAGCGUGGGGAGCAAACAGGAUUAGAUACCCUAGUAGUCC